rnacentral:rRNA from 1 species
AACGUAGGUGGCGAGCGUUGUUCGGAUUCACUGGGCGUAAAGGGUGCGUAGGUGGUGGGGUAAGUCGGAUGUGAAAUCUCCAAGCUCAACUUGGAAACUGCAUUGGAAACUACCUUGCUAGAGGAUUUGAGGGGGGAUUGGAAUACUUGGUGUAGCAGUGAAAUGCGUAGAUAUCAAGUGGAACACCAGUGGCGAAGGCGGCGUUCUGGACUGCAACUGACACUGAAAAACGAAAGCCAGGGGAGCAAACGGG